rnacentral:rRNA from 1 species
AGUUGCUACAUUCAGUUGGGCACUCUAAUGAGACUGCCGGUGACAAGCCGGAGGAAGUGGGAUGACGUCAAGUCCUCAUGGCCCUUAUAGUGGGGCUACACACGUCAUACAAUGGCUGGUACAAAGGGUUGCCAACCCGCGAGGGGGAGCUAAUCCCAUAAAGCCAGUCGUAGUCCGGAUCGUAGUCUGCAACUCGACUACGUGAAGUCGGAAUCGCUAGUAAUCGUGGAUCAGAAUGUCACGGUGAAUACGUUCCCGGGUCUU